rnacentral:misc_RNA from 1 species
UGACCUAGGCAAGUUGAUGGAGGUAUUUUUCAGGCACUGUUCCCUUGGUUCCAUGGUUUACUACUUGCUACACUUCUCAAAAACUUUAAUCAUGAGUAAAGAGCAUGCCACUGAGCAUUGCACAUUUUGACAUGAGAACCAUCCUGGCAUUUUCAAUAACUAUGAGUAUCAUUUUAUGGGUGUGUUGACUCGUUGAUCUGCUUUUCAUCUUUAGGUUCAUGGUGACUAUUCAGCA